rnacentral:tRNA from 1 species
GCCUGGAUGGCUCAGUCAAUAGAGCAUGCAACUCUUGAUCUCAGGGUUAUGAGUUCAAGCCCCAUUUUGGGCA